rnacentral:lncRNA from 1 species
UGGGGUGGGUUGAAAAGCCUGGCCCAAGGGACAAAACCGUGCGGGCCUGCGUGGCCCAAAGCGGACAAUACCUACCAAGGUGGGCUGACCAUGACAUUUGGUAUCAGAGCCAAGCCUUGUUCCUCUGGCCGGUGGUGGGGCAAACCUCAGCGUGGGCGCUGAGUCCCUAAGGGGGGGUGAGCGGUGGCUGCAGAGAGGCAGUGCACUCACCUUAGG